GGUUGUUAAACAACAAUCACUUCCAGCCAGACUGUAGAUUUGGUUUGCGACAUCUCGUUGACAAACAUGUAGUUGUUUCUUGUGAUGGUUCUGAUCGGCCUGUUGACCGCUCAAUCUGUCACUGCACGAGGGAGACAUGGCAGAACGGAACGGCCUGCAGGAAUUAGAGGGUUACGAAGGUUAUCAAGAUCAAAGUUGGAUUAUCGGCCGCCGACGGGAUUUGGUGGCGGUCUCUCACGGAUGUUGUUAAAGAAAAAUGGAUGAGAUGUAAUCAUAUGACGGAAUGAUGAGGAGACGCCGAGAGAAACAUGCGCACAACGA